AUUGAACGCUGGCGGCAUGCUUUACACAUGCAAGUCGAACGGUAACAGGCCGCAAGGUGCUGACGAGUGGCGAACGGGUGAGUAAUGCAUCGGAACGUGCCCAGUCGUGGGGGAUAACGCAGCGAAAGCUGUGCUAAUACCGCAUACGAUCUGUGGAUGAAAGCGGGGGACCGUAAGGCCUCGCGCGAUUGGAGCGGCCGAUGUCAGAUUAGGUAGUUGGUGGGUAAAGGCUCACCAAGCCAACGAUCUGUAGCUGGUCUGAGAGGACGACCAGCCACACUGGGACUGAGACACGGCCCAGACUCCUACGGGAGGCAGCAGUGGGGAAUUUUGGACAAUGGGCGCAAGCCUGAUCCAGCAAUGCCGCGUGCAGGAAGAAGGCCUUCGGGUUGUAAACUGCUUUUGUACGGAACGAAACGGUCUGGGUUAAUACCUCGGGCUAAUGACGGUACCGUAAGAAUAAGCACCGGCUAACUACGUGCCAGCCGCCGCGGUAAUAC
rnacentral:rRNA from 1 species